GACGAACGCUGGCGGCGUGCUUAACACAUGCAAGUCGUACGAUGAACUUGGAGCUUGCUCUGGGGGAUUAGUGGCGAACGGGUGAGUAACACGUGAGUAACCUGCCCUGGACUCUGGGAUAACUUCGAGAAAUCGGAGCUAAUACCGGAUAGGACCUUGCACCGCAUGGUGUGGGGUGGAAAGUUUUUCGGUUUGGGAUGGACUCGCGGCCUAUCAGCUUGUUGGUGAGGUAAUGGCUCACCAAGGCGUCGACGGGUAGCCGGCCUGCGAGGGUGACCGGCCACACUGGGACUGAGGCACGGGCCAGACUCCUACGGGUGGCAGUAGUGGGGAAUAUUGCACAGUGGGCGCAAGCCUGAUGCAGCAACGCCGCGUGCGGGAUGACGGCCUUCGGGUUGUAAACCGCUUUUAGUAGGGAAGAAGCCUUCGGGUGACGGUACCUGCAGAAAAAGGACCGGCUAACUACGUGCCAGCCGCCGCCGUAAUAC
rnacentral:rRNA from 1 species